UACGGAGGGUGCAAGCGUUGCUCGGAAUUACUGGGCGUAAAGCGAACGCAGGCGGUUCACUAAGUCGGGCGUGAAAGCCCCGGGCUCAACCUGGGAAUUGCACCCGAUACUGGUAGACUUGAGUCUGAGAGAGGGAAGCGGAAUUCCUGGUGUAGAGGUGAAAUUCGUUGAUAUCAGGAGGAACACCGGCGGCGAAGGCGGCUUCCUGGCUCAGUACUGACG
rnacentral:rRNA from 1 species